GCUCCUCUCCUCCUCCGCAUCGACGCCGCGCCGGACGCCGCAAUAGCCCGCCGGAGCUAGGUUCGAUCCCCUCGACCGCCCGAUGCCGCCGGUGAAUUUCUUGCGCUACUUUUUGCAUUCAUAAUCAGCAGGUUACCAUGACUGGCGACCAACUGCAGGUAUCACGCAGCUCUGCCAUCAUCCCUCCGAGCUGUGGUUUCCUUCAUUUUCAUACCUACUCAUGGAGUCUUCAGAUACGGUUCCCUUACAGUCAGAAGGUGUUCAGCAAGGUUCUCCACGGA